GACUGGCCUGGCCUUGCCUGGCCUUCGUAAGCUUGGACUGGUUUGUCAUUGCCUUGCCUUGCCUUGCUUGGCAUUGCCUUGACUUGCGUGGCCGGGCCUUGCCUUGAUUGUGUUGGUCGUGCCUAGCCUUGCAUUGCCUGGCCUGCCGUGGCCUGGCCUAUCCUUGCCAUGCCUGGCCUAAACUGCACUGAACUGGCCUGGCCUUGCCUUGCCUUGUAUGGCCUGUCAACUAUUGAUUAUGUAUUAGUUUGACCUAUAUCUAUAGCACGACUUCUUCGGACAGUGUGCAAGUUAGGUGGAACGAUCCCCCUUGCACCAGGGUGUACGCGCGUCACCAAUAGACACAUACCUGCUCUAUAUCCUUACUGGCUCUUGGGUCUGAUUUCCGCACGUCAAGAGCUGCUUGUGUCCUGGGAGGAGAGCGAGCCGUUCCCUGUGUCUGUCAGAGGAGUGAAGGUGCCAAAAUGCCGGCCCAUCUGGGCAGGUGGGUGCAGCAGGGCCCAGAACGCAGGGAGGGGAAGCCAGAAGCACUGCGUGCUGCCGGGCUUCCUCCAGCUGGGUGGCACAACGUCCCCUUCCGUGGGCACAGCCCUGCUCCUGCUCUGGGCAGAGCCAAAUGGGGCUAAAAGGAUCCCAGCAGAGCGUGUCCCAGCGCUGGGCUGUGAUAACCACCAUCUGAUCUCUCCCUUAGGCAACACGCUGCCAAAGAGAGGGGAAGGAGAACUCCCGUCCUGCUUCUAGUAGUCCUUUCUGGUGAGUGUUCCCCACCCAGGGCCGUCCCAGCAGAGCCGGGGAGCAGGACUGUCCCACACAGCGUGUCCCUGCUGGGUCUGGAGGAGGAAAACGGGGCUGCAGGGCUCAGAGCAGUCUGAGCAAACUAACUGUCUCUCCCGACUGAUGGCCCCCUACAGCUGGAGCCUUUCUCUGGAUAUUGGCAGCUUGGAAAAAUGACGUCCUGCAGGAACUCACCGGUUUGCCUGGAGGGGAAGAGGCAGGAGCUGAAAAUGAC
ensembl:lncRNA